AUUGAACGCUGGCGGCAUGCUUUACACAUGCAAGUCGAACGGUAACAGGCCGCAAGGUGCUGACGAGUGGCGAACGGGUGAGUAAUGCAUCGGAACGUGCCCAGUCGUGGGGGAUAACGCAGCGAAAGCUGUGCUAAUACCGCAUACGAUCUAUGGACUGAAGCGGGGGACCGUAAGGCCUCGCGCGAUUGGAGCGGCCGAUGUCAGAUUAGGUAGUUGGUGGGGUAAAGGCCUACCAAGCCGACGAUCUGUAGCUGGUCUGAGAGGACGACCAGCCACACUGGGACUGAGACACGGCCCAGACUCCUACGGGAGGCAGCAGUGGGGAAUUUUGGACAAUGGGCGCAAGCCUGAUCCAGCAAUGCCGCGUGCAGGAAGAAGGCCUUCGGGUUGUAAACUGCUUUUGUACGGAACGAAACGGCCUGGGUUAAUACCCUGGGCUAAUGACGGUACCGUAAGAAUAAGCACCGGCUAACUACAUGCCAGCCGCCGCCGUAAAAC
rnacentral:rRNA from 1 species